AACAAACGCUGGCGGCGUGCCUAACACAUGCAAGUCGUACGAGAAAUCCUGGGCAACUGGGAGAGUAAAGUGGCGCACGGGUGAGUAACGCGUGGGUAACCUGCCCUUGAAUUGGGGAUAACUCCGCGAAAGCGGGGUUAAUACCGGAUGAUAUUCCGAUUCCUCCGGGAGUUGGAAUCAAAGGUGGCCUCUGCAUGCAAGCUACUGUUCAUGGAUGGGCCGGCGUACCAUUAGCUAGUUGGUAGGGUAACGGCCUACCAAGGCAUCGAUGGUUAGCUGGUCUGAGAGGAUGGCCAGCCACACUGGAACUGAGACACGGUCCAGACUCCUACGGGAGGCAGCAGUGGGGAAUCUUGCGCAAUGGGGGAAGCCCUGACGCAGCAACGCCGCGUGGGUGAUGAAGGCCUUCGGGUCGUAAAGCCCUGUCAGGUGGGAAGAACCGUAUCGGUGCAAACAGUGCCGAUGCUUGACGGUACCACCGGAGGAAGCACCGGCUAACUCCGUGCCAGCAGCCGCAGUAAUAC
rnacentral:rRNA from 1 species